rnacentral:rRNA from 1 species
CAGUAGCCGCGGGAAUACGUAGGGUGCGAGCGUUAAUCGGAAUUACUGGGCGUAAAGGGAGCGUAGGCGGAUGUUUAAGUCAGAGGUGAAAGCCCAGGGCUCAACCUUGGAACUGCCUUUGAUACUGGACAUCUUGAGUGUGGGAGAGGUAAGCGGAACUCCGAGUGUAGAGGUGAAAUUCGUAGAUAUUCGGAAGAACACCAGUGGCGAAGGCGGCUUACUGGCCCAUUACUGACGCUGAGGCUCGAAAGCGUGGGGAGCAAACAGGAUUAGAUACCCCUGUAGUCCCUGUCUCUUAUAC